GUUCGGAAUUAUUGGGCGUAAAGGGCACGUAGGUGGACUAGUAAGUUAAAAGUGAAAUACCAAAGCUCAACUUUGGAGCUGCUUUUAAUACUGCUAGACUAGAGGUCGAGAGAGGAUAGCGGAAUUCCUAGUGUAGAGGUGAAAUUCGUAGAUAUUAGGAGGAACACCGGUGGCGAAGGCGGCUAUCUGGCUCGAUACUGACACUGA
rnacentral:rRNA from 1 species